GCAUCAAUAAGCGGAGGAAAGAACUACAAGGAUUCCCCUAGUAACUGCGAGUGAAGCGGGAAAGCUCAAAUUUGAAAUCUGGCGGUCUUUGGCCGUCCGAGUUGUAAUUUAGAGAAGCGUCUUCGCGCCGGACCGUGCCCAAGUCUCCUGGAAUGGAGCGUCAUAGAGGGUGAGAAUCCCGUCUUUGGCACGGAUGCCUGGUGCUUCUGUGAUGCGCUCUCAAAGAGUCGAGUUGUUUGGGAAUGCAGCUCAAAAUGGGUGGUGAACUCCAUCUAAAGCUAAAUAUUGGCGAGAGACCGAUAGCGAACAAGUACCGUGAGGGAAAGAUGAAAAGCACUUUGGAAAGAGAGUGAAACAGUACGUGAAAUUGUUGAAAGGGAAACGCUUGAAGUCAGUCGCGUCGAUCGAGACUCAGCCUUGCCUCGGCUUGGUGUACUUCUCGACCGACGGGCCAGCAUCAAUUUUGCCCCUCAGAUAAUGGCAAGGGAAAGGUGGCACCCUUACCGGUGUGUUAUAGUCUCCUGUCGAAUGUGAGGGGUGGGAUUGAGGAACUCAGCAUGCACCUUUUUAAGGUGUCGGGGCUUCGGCCCACGUUACGUGCUUAGGAUGUUGGCGUAAUGGCUUUAAACGACCCGUCUUGAAACACGGACCAAGGAGUCUAACAUGCCCGCGAGUGUUCGGGUGGAAAACCCGUUCGCGUAAUGAAAGUGAAAGUUGGGACCUCUGUCGUGGAGGGCACCGACGCCCGGACCAGACCUUCUGUGACGGAUCUGCGGUUGAGCGUGCAUGUUGGGACCCGAAAGAUGGUGAACUAUGCCUGAAUAGGGUGAAGCCAGAGGAAACUCUGGUGGAGGCUCGUAGCGAUUCUGACGUGCAAAUCGAUCGUCAAAUUUGGGUAUAGGGGCGAAAGACUAAUCGAACC
rnacentral:rRNA from 1 species